UUAUAGAUUUCGGUUGGAAUGCCAAGUCAAAGAGGGUGAGAAUCCCGUAUUUGAUAAGGUGGUCUUGUGCAUUGUGUUGUGCUUUCAAAGAGUCGAGUUGUUUGGGAAUGCAGCUCAAAGUGGGUGGUAAAUUCCAUCUAAAGCUAAAUAUUGGCGAGAGACCGAUAGCGAACAAGUACCGUGAGGGAAAGAUGAAAAGCACUUUGGAAAGAGAAUGAAAUAGUACAUGAAAUUGCUGAAAGGGAAACGAUUGAAGUUAGACAUGCGCUUUGGGUAUUCAGCCUUGGCUUCGGUCUUGGUGCAUUUGCCCAAUUUUGC
rnacentral:rRNA from 1 species